UGAGCGGUCCGGACAGCCGCGCGCCGAAGCCUUUGGCGGAGGCGCGAGGAAAGUCCGGGCUCCAUAGAGCAGGAGGGUUGCUAACGGCAACCGAGGGCGACCUCAGGGAAAGUGGCACAGAAAACAAACCGCCCCAGAGUAUCGGGGUAAGGGUGAAAAGGUGCGGCAAGAGCGCACCGCGAGCCCUGGCGACAGGGCCGGCAGGCUAAACCCCCUCCGGAGCAAGGCCAAAUAGGAGUCCAGGCGCUGCUCGCGCCGCCAGAAGUCAAAGACUCGGGUAGGCUGCUUGAGCCUGCCGGCAACGGCAGGCCUAGACGAAUGGCUGUC
rnacentral:RNase_P_RNA from 1 species